GACGAACGCUGGCGGCGUGCCUAAUACAUGCAAGUCGAACGAACCGCGACUAAGUGCUUGCACUAAGUCAAGGUGAGUGGCGAACGGGUGAGUAACACGUGGGUAACCUACCUCAUAGUGGGGGAUAACAGUCGGAAACGACUGCUAAUACCGCAUAGGACAUAGGAUCACAUGAUCCAGUGAGGAAAGGUGGCGCAAGCUAUCGCUAAGAGAUGGACCCGCGGUGCAUUAGCUAGUUGGUAGGGUAAAGGCCUACCAAGGCGAUGAUGCAUAGCCGACCUGAGAGGGUGAUCGGCCACAUUGGGACUGAGACACGGCCCAAACUCCUACGGGAGGCAGCAGUAGGGAAUCUUCCGCAAUGGACGCAAGUCUGACGGAGCAACGCCGCGUGAGUGAAGAAGGUCUUCGGAUCGUAAAGCUCUGUUGUUAGAGAAGAACAGCGCAUAGAGUAACUGUUA
rnacentral:rRNA from 1 species